rnacentral:rRNA from 1 species
AGUGAACGCUGGCGGUAGGCCUAACACAUGCAAGUCGAACGGCAGCACAGUAAGAGCUUGCUCUUACGGGUGGCGAGUGGCGGACGGGUGAGGAAUACAUCGGAAUCUACUUUUUCGUGGGGGAUAACGUAGGGAAACUUACGCUAAUACCGCAUACGACCUACGGGUGAAAGCAGGGGAUCUUCGGACCUUGCGCGAUUGAAUGAGCCGAUGUCGGAUUAGCUAGUUGGCGGGGUAAAGGCCCACCAAGGCGACGAUCCGUAGCUGGUCUGAGAGGAUGAUCAGCCACACUGGAACUGAGACACGGUCCAGACUCCUACGGGAGGCAGAAGUGGGGAAUAUUGGACAAUGGGCGCAAGCCUGAUCCAGCCAUACCGCGUGGGUGAAGAAGGCCUUAGGGUUGUAAAGCCCUUUUGUUGGGAAAGAAAAGCAGCAGGUUAAUACCCCGCUGUUCUGACGGUACCCAAAGAAUAAGCACCGGCUAACUUCGUG